GGCUGGGGAUGUAGCUCAGCGGGAAAGCACCCCUGGGUUCAGUCCCCAG
rnacentral:miRNA from 1 species